rnacentral:pre_miRNA from 1 species
UUUAAACGAAACCAUGAGUUUUCUGUCUAACUUUGAUCAUCGUCUUAUUUAGAAUUUUUUUAUGAUUAGUGUUUUUAUUGUUAUUGGAUGAUAAAACAUAAAUAGUGAUUUAUGCAUGACAUAUUUUUUUUAAAAAAAAUCAUUUUUAAAAUAAAACGGAAGAUUAAAGAUGGAAUUUCAACUUUAAACGGACG